rnacentral:misc_RNA from 1 species
AUUUAUUUUUGCAGACAAAUCCAAAUUCUUUUUUUUUAGCCUUUCUAUGAGUAAAUAAUAAAGGAGCUAAAGAGAAUGAAAUCAAAACGUUAAGCUACUAAAAGAUAACCUAAACACAAAAAAAUUCCAGCAUGCAUGAACCACUUUGAGAGAACGCUAAGGCAAGACUUAAUGCAUUUAAACACACAAUGACCAUUACUAUUUGCACAUAACUUAAGUGAAUAGCAAAAACGUCAAGUUUGAGAGUCACAUGCAUGUUAAAUGCAAAUUAAUAAGCCUUUAAUAAAUUUAUCACAAGAUUAAGUGCGGGACUAAGUAGGCAUCAGAAGAGUGGCUAAGAUAACGAGGUUGACUCGAACACAUCAACACUAACCUACACCGACCGAUAAGAAAGAUAACUGACUAACAUAAACUUGAAAAAUAAGUGCCAAACCGAAUCCAUGGAGCGAUUCUUUUGACACGUACAACAAAAUAUGAAUAUCAUUUCCACGAAUAGAGACAGAAAAG